UACGGGGGGGGCAAGCGUUGUUCGGAAUUACUGGGCGUAAAGGGCUCGUAGGCGGCCAACUAAGUCAGACGUGAAAUCCCUCGGCUUAACCGGGGAACUGCAUCUGAUACUGGAUGGCUUGAAUGCGGGAGAGGAUAGUGGAAUUCCCAGUGUAGAGGUGAAAUUCGUAGAUAUUGGGAAGAACACCGGUGGCGAAGGCGGCUAUCUGGCCCGUAAUUGACGCUGAGGCGCGAAAGCGUGGGGAGCAAACAGGG
rnacentral:rRNA from 1 species